rnacentral:rRNA from 1 species
UACGGAGGGUGCGAGCGUUAAUCGGAAUUACUGGGCGUAAAGCGCACGCAGGCGGUUUGUUAAGCUAGAUGUGAAAGCCCCGGGCUCAACCUGGGAUGGUCAUUUAGAACUGGCAGACUAGAGUCUUGGAGAGGGGAGUGGAAUUCCAGGUGUAGCGGUGAAAUGCGUAGAUAUCUGGAGGAACAUCAGUGGCGAAGGUGACUCCCUGGCCAAAGACUGACGCUCAUGUGCGAAAGUGUGGGUAGCGAACAGG